rnacentral:lncRNA from 1 species
UAGCAGUAGGUGAACAACUCUUUAUAAGUCAACCUUUUUAUAAUUGACUUUUCAUUAACAUUGAUGAACAUGAAAAUUGUUGCAUUCUGGCUGAUCAAACUAUGACAUCAUUGUACUCGGAGAACCAGAGUUUCUAAUAUUUGGCAAAAACCCAUAUUUUUUGACACUGAAUAAUCUCUUCUUUGAUGACUUGUUAUGAGGAGACAAAUUCAC